CAGGCCUAACACAUGCAAGUCGAGCGAGAGGCACUUCAGUGCGAGUAGAGCGCCGGACGGGUGAGUAACACGUAGGAAUCUACCCAGUGGUGGGGGACAACUUGGGGAAACUCAAGCUAGGGCCGCUUACGCCCUACGGGGGAAAGCGGGGGACCUUCGGGCCUCGCGCCUUUGGGUGAGCCUGCCCCCCAAUGGCUAAUGGUGGGGUAAAGGCCCACCAAGGCGACGAUCCCGGCUGGUCUGAGAGGAUGAUCAGCCACACUGAGACUGAGAGGGGCCCAAUACUCCUACGGGGGCCCCCUGGGGAAUAUUGGGCAAUGGGGGCGCCCUGACGCGCCGUGCCGCGUGUGUGAAAAAGGCCUUAAGGUUGUAAAUCACUUUCAAUAGAGAGGAAAAGUUGUACGUUAAAAGCGUGCAGCCGUGACGUUACCUAUACAACAACACCGGCUAACUCCGUGCCUUCAUCCGCGGUAAUACUGAGGGUGCAAGCGUUAAUCGAAUCACUGGGCGUAGAGCGCGCCUCCGCGGCUUGAUGGGAAUUAUGUGUAAUCCCCGGGCUCAACCUGAGAAUUGCAUUUGAUACUGUCUGGCUAGAGUAUGGUAAAAGGGGGGUGGAAUUCCAGUGUACGGUGAAAUGCGUAGAUAUCUGGAGGAACAUCAGUGGCGAAGGCGACCCCCUGGACCAAUACUGACGCUGAGUGCCAAGGCGUGGUAGCCAACAAGAUUAGAUACCCUGGUACUCCACGCGUAACAAAUGUCUGCUAGCCGUCCGUCUCAUUAUAAGAGCUUGCUGGCGCAGACUACCGCAUAAGUUGACCGCCUGGAGA
rnacentral:rRNA from 1 species